UGGUUCUCGGCACCUGGUGUUGCCUUCGGAGGCACAGAGGACGUUCUAGAAACACGAGGGUGCAAAGAGAAGCUGGACAGGCGCCCACACCUGGCUGGCACGCACACCUGUGUGCACCGAGGGGGAACUGACGAGCACCUGAAUUGCCGAGCCAGGCUGCAGUAAGUCAUUAGGAUCGGGGUGAGAUGCCCCCACAGGGACAAGGGAGGGGUGAGAAUCAGAGGGGUUUCUUUUCUCAGCUAAGAAAGGCCCCAGGGGCAGCCUCUGCCCCACAUGGCUCUCAGUACCAGCGAUGGGCAGGGUCCCUUCGUUCUCAUUGCGGUUUCCCCAGGGCUCCCACACCACCAGCUGCCUCUUCUAGAAACUCCCCAUCAGGCCUUCUCCCCCGCGAAUCUUGGUAACGUCCUUGCUGCCUCUCUCACACCCUCCUGUCCUCCUCUUCCUACAAACAUGCUCCUGUCUCCAUCCCACCUUGAAGAAACCCUUGGCCGAUACGGCACCCACCCAUGGUCCCAGGAUAACCCCUUUUCUUCCCUAGGCUAAUAAAACAGAGAAAGUAAGUGCAUCGGGCACUCCAGACCAAAGCCAUUUGCAGAAUGGAGUCACAGGCUGACAUCCAAGACUUUAGCCAGCUGGCUUCAGGCAGCAGAUGCAAAGGAGAGGUCAUGAGCAGGCCAGGCCCUGGCUAGGCAGGUGAGAGGUGACGGCGACCUUGUCUAGGAUGAGGGCCCCAGGAAGCCCUUGGGAACCCAGGGUGGUUAGGCCAGGCCAGUUGGUGAGAGCCUGAACUCUGGAAGGAAAGAACAGGCUGUAGUGUGGACGAGACCAUCCCUCCUGCAUCGUAGCUGCCUUGUAAUCCCAUCCUCCUGACUCAGGCUGGGCUCUGCAUCAGGCACCCCAGAGUCCAGGCACCCCAGUUUGUCAGGCCUGUGUGGGACAGCGCCUGAGCCGGGAGGGCUCCCUUCCCUCCUCCGGGAUGCUCUGGCCUUGUCUCUGUCAUGGCCAUUUAUUGCAACCACGGUCAAUAAAGGAGGCAGGAGAGGGCACAGUGGCUGUGAAAACGUUUGGCUCACGAGGAACAGGUAUCCUAACUGCGUGGGACAAGGAGGCGGGUGGUGUCGUGAUUAAAGCACAGGCCUGGGAUCACACUGCAGGGGCUCAGAUCCCAGAUCUGCAACAAUGUGGCUGCGAUGACCCUGGCUGGGCGCGGUGGCUCAAGCCCCCCAGUCUCCGAUUUGCCAGCCUGGCUGUUCACACACAGGGGAUGCACUGGCUUCCCAGGCAUCCUGGGCACCCCCUCCAGGUGGCAUAGGGGCUCCCCAGCACUGAAGGGUGUUCAGCAGCCUGCAAACCAACUGACUCACAGAGCCCAGAUAGUGACGCCAAGACCAGCCGCUCCGGGGCCAACAUCAGAGCUGGAGAGCUGAGCCAGUGGCACGCCAGUCACUGAGGAAGGCCUCUUGUUGAUAAAGACAGGGCAUGAAUUCUUGGGGGGCUGUUACGUACCUUCCCAAAGGGAGAAAGAAACCCCUUGUUCAGUCACCGCACAGCUGUCUCUGGAGACAGGAGCACAAAGCUGCCUUCUGCCCAGGGCACUGCUUCCUUGGCAAGUGACCAGCAGCUGGGACCGCACGUGCCAAAGGCAGCAGCUGCCAUGUUUGACAAACUGGAACGGAGCUAUGUCCAAAUUAAAUCCCCCCAACCAGCCUCUGCCAUACUCCCUUUGGGGACAGGGGUGGUCGGUCGUUACGCUUGCAAAAUUCCAACAGCACCUAGAGUCCCAGGAAAUGGGGCUGCUGGCCAAUAGAGGUGGGACCCAGGGUGACAGGCCACAUGCUCCUUAGAGAGCCAACAGUGUUUCCUGAAUUCCAUGGGAGUUUGCCGAGGGGACAUGGAAGCUAGGAUUCCGGAACACCCGCUGGGAGCCUAGUCCUGGGCUAGGGGCUGCAUUUAUCAUUUCAUCCUCACAACUACUGUUGCAGUUUCGCCUAACAGAGAAGGAGACAAAACUAACCCGGUGGCCACGUGGCCGAAGGCACAGAGCCGUUGAGUGGCAGCGUGGCAUUUGAAUUCAGGCCGGUGAUGCUGAAGUCCCCAGGUCUUUUUUUUUUUGAUGCCCACAACAAUGUAACUACUAAUAGCCUGUUAUUGAUGCAGGCCUUACCAAUAACAUAAAUAGUUGAUGAACACAUAUUUUGCAUAUGUGUUAUAUACUGUAUUCUUAUCAUAAACGAGCCAAAGAGAAGGAGAUGUUAUUAAGAAAACGGUAAGAAAGAGAAAAUAUAUUUAGCAUUCAUUUAGCAGAAGGGGAUCACCAUAAAGGUCUUCAUCCCUGUUAUCUUCACCUUGAAGAGGCUGAGAAGGAGGAGAAGGAGGGGGUGGUCUUGCUGUCUUAGGGAUGGUGGAGGUAGAAGAGGCAAAGAAGGUGGAAGGGAAGGCAGCCACGCUCGGUGUAAGCUUUAUUGGAAAAAAUCUGCAUUUAUGUGGACUCUCACCAGGCAAACCCGUAUGGUGCUCGAGGGCCAACUGUAUUUCCACUACCGUCAUCCGCCUUGCCCAGGGUGACCUGAUUCACUGACGGGAGGGUUUGCCUUCCCAUGCGCAUCAGUUCAGCCUUCCCCUGAUGUCAUUCUUUUCCUAGUGGCUAACAGGCUGGAUGUGCAGUUGGGGACAGUCAGUAUCUGGGGUCUGGUGAGGACCCUCUUCCUGGUUUGCAAAGCAGGAAGAUGCCAGGCAUCUCUUUCUGUCCUGCUCAGUCAAGUGUGAAUCACAAAGCCUGAGUUCAGAUCCUCGACCUUGGGCAGGUGAACUUCACUCUUAUGAGUCUCAAUUUCUGUACCCAC
rnacentral:lncRNA from 1 species